GAUGAACGCUAGCGGCAGGCUUAAUACAUGCAAGUCGAACGGGAUUGAGAAGCUUGCUUUUCAUGAGAGUGGCGCACGGGUGCGUAACACGUAUGCAACCUACCUUGUCCAGGGGGAUAGCCCGUUGAAAGACGGAUUAAGACCGCACAACAUUGAGCUGUGGCAUCACAAAUCAAUCAAAUAUUUAUAGGGACAAGAUGGGCAUGCGCCGGAUUCGGUAGUUGGCGGGGUAAUGGCACACCAAGCCGACGAUCAGUAGGGGAUCUGAGCGGAUGACACACCACAAUGGGGUCACGACCGGAGCCAGAAUCGCACGGGGGGGAGGAGUAGGGAAGAUUGGGCAAUGGGCGAAAGCCUGAACCAGCCAUGCCGCGUGAAGAAAGAGGGCCCUACGGGUUGUAAACUGCUUUUAUACGGGAAUAACCCCGGUUUCGUGAAACCGGCUGAAUGUACCGUAAGAAUAAGGAUCGGCUAACUCCGUGCCAGCCGCCGCGGUAA
rnacentral:rRNA from 1 species